UUUUGUAAUCACUCUGGCAGUCUUCUUUUUUUGCUUAGUUGGAGCCCAUUCUUUUAGUUGGCUCGCCUUUUGUGGGUUUUUAUUUUUUUAUUUUUUGUAAGCUUGUAUAUUCUUUCAUUUUGUUCACAAUGAAAGUCAAGUAUUUCACAAGAAAGGUAUGGUGGGUUAGUAAGAAAUUUUAGGUUUUUUUUCUAUUGUAUUGAUCUUCUGUAACUUUAGUCUAGCUUUGUUGGUUGUUCAUAAAAUAUGAGCUAAGGAGGGUAGAAAUUAUUAAUUCUAUUCCUAUGGGAGAGGGGCAUUGUUUGCAUUUGGUGGGUUGGGAGGUGGUCUCUAGGCCCAUGGACUUGGAGUGUUCAGACAUUGAUAAUCUUAAGAUGAGAAACACAACCUUGUUGGCUAAAUGACUUUGACAAUUCUAUCAUGAAGUCGAUACCGUAUGGUACAAGAUUAUUGUUGGUAAGUACAGGUCCUACCCCAUUGAGAAAACCAGUGAGAUGUUAAAAAAGGCACUUUUAAAAACCUGUGGAACGAGAUUGUGUUAGAGCUUCGUAUUUUUCCUCAGUUUAUUCAUAAUGUAGUGGGGGAUGGGCAGGAUACUUAUUCUUGGGAGGAGAAGUGGUUAGAAGAUAAACCUCUCUGCUCCCACCCUUGCUUAUACCAUUUAUUCUCCUUACAAAAUCAUUCGGCGGCUUCAGUUCUUGAUCCAUUGGAUUUUCUGCUCUCUCCUCCGUUGGGUCUUAGACAACCAUUGACCGUAGGAAGACGUGAGGUGUCUUGAAUCUCACUCUCAUCUUUUCCGACUUAGGCCCUAGAGGGGGGAUGUCCUUUGGAUUUUUGUCCAAAGGUUUUUUUUGUAGCUCUUUUUCUCAGUGUUUAUCCAACCCUUUGUUUGUGAAUGAUUCUAUUUUAUCCUCAAUUUGGAAGGUAAAGAUUCCCAAGAAGGUGAAAUUCUUCACAUGACAGAUUUUGCACUGAAGAGUUAAUACCUUGAAUCGAAUCUCGGCCAGAGCGCCUUUGGUGGAGCUUAUCCUUCAUCUGCCUUUUUGUGAUUAAGGGCGGUUUUUGGCAGACUAGGGGGUGUGCUAUUUUGUGAAGGUUGUGGGGCAAGAGAAACAACAUAAUCUUCUGAAGGUGUGAGAGUUCUAAUAGCGAUGUUUGGUCCUCUAUAAGAUUCUCUGUUUCUCUCUUGGGUUUUGUUUUGAGACUUCUUUAAUUAUUUGCUAGGUCUUAUUCCUCUUGAUUGGAGUCAUUUCUUGUAUUUUGACUCUAUUUUGUGGGCUUUUCUUUUUGCGUGUCCAUAUAUUCUUUCAUUUUUCUCCAUCAAAAUCAUUCAAGUUUCUUCAUUAAAAAAAUCAAUUCCUUAUGAAAUUCUCGGUUGGGAUGUAGCCUGUGGAAUUUGGAGGUUGGGGUUUUUUUUAGGUCAGAUAUUUUAGUGUUGAAGUAGUUUAAAGGGAAUGCUGUUGUAACUUCCUUGAAGGGAAUUUCUUUUUGUGGGGGUACUAUGUUGUAAUUUGUAAUACUUGAAAGGAAUACCUUUUUUUUUUCUUUAUUACAACUUUUCAGACAUCAACAGAGAGUUCUUGUUUUGAAAAAAAAAAAAAAAAA